CGGCGAGUGGCGACGGGUGAGUAAUACAUCGGAACGUGCCCUGUAGUGGGGGAUAACUAGUCGAAAGACUAGCUAAUACCGCAUACGACCUGAGGGUGAAAGUGGGGGACCGCAAGGCCUCAUGCUAUAGGAGCGGCCGAUGUCUGAUUAGCUAGUUGGUGGGGUAAAGGCCCACCAAGGCGACGAUCAGUAGCUGGUCUGAGAGGACGAUCAGCCACACUGGGACUGAGACACGGCCCAGGCUCCUACGGGAGGCAGCAGUGGGGAAUUUUGGACAAUGGGGGCAACCCUGAUCCAGCAAUGCCGCGUGUGUGAAGAAGGCCUUCGGGUUGUAAAGCACUUUUGUCCGGAAAGAAAUCGCACUGGUUAAUACCUGGUGUGGAUGACGGUACCGGAAGAAUAAGGACCGGCUAACUACGUGCCAGCAGCCGCGGUAAUACGUAGGGUCCAAGCGUUAAUCGGAAUUACUGGGCGUAAAGCGUGCGCAGGCGGUUGUGCAAGACCGAUGUGAAAUCCCCGGGCUUAACCUGGGAAUUGCAUUGGUGACUGCACGGCUAGAGUGUGUCAGAGGGAGGUAGAAUUCCACGUGUAGCAGUGAAAUGCGUAGAGAUGUGGAGGAAUACCGAUGGCGAAGGCAGCCUCCUGGGAUAACACUGACGCUCAUGCACGAAAGCGUGGGGAGCAAACAGGAUUAGAUACCCUGGUAGUCCACGCCCUAAACGAUGUCAACUAGUUGUUGGGGAUUCAUUUCCUUAGUAACGUAGCUAACGCGUGAAGUUGACCGCCUGGGGAGUACGGUCGCAAGAUUAAAACUCAAAGGAAUUGACGGGGACCCGCACAAGCGGUGGAUGAUGUGGAUUAAUUCGAUGCAACGCGAAAAACCUUACCUACCCUUGACAUGCCACUAACGAAGCAGAGAUGCAUUAGGUGCUCGAAAGAGAAAGUGGACACAGGUGCUGCAUGGCUGUCGUCAGCUCGUGUCGUGAGAUGUUGGGUUAAGUCCCGCAACGAGCGCAACCCUUGUCUCUAGUUGCUACGAAAGGGCACUCUAGAGAGACUGCCGGUGACAAGCCGGAGGAAGGUGGGGAUGACGUCAAGUCCUCAUGGCCCUUAUGGGUAGGGCUUCACACGUCAUACAAUGGUGCAUACAGAGGGUUGCCAAGCCGCGAGGUGGAGCUAAUCCCAGAAAAUGCAUCGUAGUCCGGAUCGUAGUCUGCAACUCGACUACGUGAAGCUGGAAUCGCUAGUAAUCGCGGAUCAGCA
rnacentral:rRNA from 1 species